UACGAAGGGGCUAGCGUUGCUCGGAAUCACUGGGCGUAAAGGGUGCGUAGGCGGGUUUUAAGUCAGGGGUGAAAUCCUGGAGCUCAACUCCAGAACUGCCUUUGAUACUGAAGAUCUUGAGUCCGGGAGAGGUGAGUGAACUGCGAGUGUAGAGGUGAAAGUUCGUAGAUAUUCGCAAGAACACCAGUGGCGAAGGCGGCUCACUGGCCCGGUACUGACGCUGAGGCACGAAAGCGUGGGGAGCAAACAGG
rnacentral:rRNA from 1 species